CUAUUUUCUAAACGUUAUCUAGGGUAUCUCGUAAAUAAUAAACCUUUGUGAAAUAUCUUUGCGCAAUGGUCACAAAUACAUCACAUUGAUAUAAAUCAUUCCAUCAGACAAUAUAUACAUACAUCAAUAUAUAGUUAUUUUAAUUAUAUACAUUUUGUGUCUGUAUAAUACACCCUCUAUAUAUUCCGGCAUAUAUAUCCUCUAACAAGUAACGAGUUCGCAAAGUUUGUUUUGUCCAUAUAUUCUAAUAUUUAUCGCAACUAGCUAUAUGUGGGCUUAUCCGUGAUAAAUGUAUAUAAUUAAAAUAACUAUAUAU